rnacentral:sRNA from 1 species
AGUAAGGAAGAAGGGCCGAUACCUCGCUGGGAAAUGGUGUGGUUGGAGAGGGAGCGGGCGGAGAGGAGGGCGGCGCUGAAUGCGGAGGCCGCUGCCUUGGUGCGCUCGCGGCCGUCGGCGAUCUGCCGCUCGAACGCCAAACACUGCGCCGCCAUCCUCCUGCGCAACUCGAUGGCUCCUCCUCCUCCGCCGCCGCCGCCUUCCAUGGUGAAGCCGCCGGAGCCGGAGACGGGAGC